rfam:Volvox carteri f. nagariensis unplaced genomic scaffold VOLCAscaffold_44, whole genome shotgun sequence.
GCCCGGGUAGCUCAGUCGGUAGAGCGCAAGGCUCUUAACCUUGUGGUCGUGGGUUCGAGCCCCACCUCGGGCG